CACGUAGGGCGCAAGCGUUGUCCGGAAUUAUUGGGCGUAAAGGAGCUACGUAGGCGGACUGUCACGUCUGCUGUGAAAAGCUGGGGCUUAACCCUGGCCUUGCAGUGGAUACGGGCAGACUAGAGGUAGGUAGGGGAGAAUGGAAUUCCUGGUGUAGGCAGGUGAAAUGCGCAGAUAUCAGGAGGAACACCGGUGGCGAAGGCGGGUCUCUGGGCCGAUGACUGACGCUGAGGAGCGAAAGCGUGGGGAGCGAACAGG
rnacentral:rRNA from 1 species